rnacentral:rRNA from 1 species
UACGGGGGGGGCAAGCGUUGUUCGGAAUUACUGGGCGUAAAGGGCUUGUAGGUGGCCAACUAAGUCAGACGUGAAAUCCCUCAGCUUAACUGGGGAACUGCGUCUGAUACUGGAUGGCUUGAGUUUGGGAGAGGGAUGCGGAAUUCCAGGUGUAGCGGUGAAAUGCGUAGAUAUCUGGAGGAACACCGGUGGCGAAGGCGGCAUCCUGGACCAACACUGACACUGAGGAGCGAAAGCCAGGGAGCAAACGGG